CUCAAGUUCAUCUAUUCAAGCUGAUCAGUUUACUGGACAAUGUCUGUCUCACUUUGGUUUGACUGCUUGAGAUUUAUGCAAGAAUAUGAUCCAUCUGUACGUGAAUUUUCACCUGAUGGUAUUGCGAAGGCAAGAAAUCUCUUCGAGCGUGCUAUAACUGCUGCUGGUUUGCAUGUUGCUGAAGGCAGUAAAAUAUGGGAAGUAUAUAGGGAAUUUGAGCAAGCCAUUCUCUAUACCAUAGAUGAGAUCAGCAUUAAGG